rnacentral:rRNA from 1 species
GCGGAGGAAAAGAAACCAACAGGGAUUGCCUUAGUAGCGGCGAGUGAAGCGGCAAAAGCUCAAAUUUGAAAUCUGGCUCUUUCAGAGUCCGAGUUGUAAUUUGAAGAAGGUAUCUUUGGGUCUGGCUCUUGUCUAUGUUUCUUGGAACAGAACGUCACAGAGGGUGAGAAUCCCGUGCGAUGAGAUGAUCCAGGCCUAUGUAAAGUUCCUUCGAAGAGUCGAGUUGUUUGGGAAUGCAGCUCUAAGUGGGUGGUAAAUUCCAUCUAAAGCUAAAUAUUGGCGAGAGACCGAUAGCGAACAAGUACAGUGAUGGAAAGAUGAAAAGAACUUUGAAAAGAGAGUGAAAAAGUACGUGAAAUUGUUGAAAGGGAAGGGCUUGAGAUCAGACUUGGUAUUUUGUAUGUUACUUCUUCGGGGGUGGCCUCUACAGUUUAUCGGGCCAGCAUCAGUUUGGGCGGUAGGAGAAUUGCGUUGGAAUGUGGCACGGCUUCGGUUGUGUGUUAUAGCCUUCGUCGAUACUGCCAGCCUAGACUGAGGACUGCGGUUUAUACCUAGGAUGUGC